CCUACGGGUGGCAGCAGUGAGGAAUAUUGGUCAAUGGGCGCAAGCCUGAACCAGCCAAGUCGCGUGAGGGAAGACGGUCCUAUGGAUUGUAAACCUCUUUUGUCGGGGAGCAAAAGACGCCACGCGUGGAGUUCCGAGAGUACCCGAAGAAAAAGCAUCGGCUAACUCCGUGCCAGCAGCCGCGGUAAUACGGAGGAUGCGAGCGUUAUCAGGAUUGAUUGGGUUUAAAGGGUGCGAAGGGGGAAGAUCAAGUCAGAGGUAAAAGUGAGAGGCUCAACCUCUUCGAGCCGUUGAAAUUGGGUGUCUAGAGUGAGGGAGAAGUAGGCGGAAUGCGUGGGGUAGCGGUGAAAGGCAUAGAUAUCACGAAGAACUCCGAUUGCGAAGGCGGCAGACCGGCGCUAAACUGACGCUCAUGCACGAAAGUGUGGGUAGCGAACAGGAUGAGAUACCCCGGUAGUC
rnacentral:rRNA from 1 species